GGAAUAUUGCACAAUGGGCGCAAGCCUGAUGCAGCCAUGCCGCGUGUGUGAAGAAGGCCUUCGGGUUGUAAAGCACUUUCAGUCGUGAGGAAGGUGGUGUAGUUAAUAGCUGCAUUACUUGACGUUAGCGACAGAAGAAGCACCGGCUAACUCCGUGCCAGCAGCCGCGGUAAUACGGAGGGUGCGAGCGUUAAUCGGAAUUACUGGGCGUAAAGCGCAUGCAGGUGGUUUGUUAAGUCAGAUGUGAAAGCCCGGGGCUCAACCUCGGAAUAGCAUUUGAAACUGGCAGACUAGAGUACUGUAGAGGGGGGUAGAAUUUCAGGUGUAGCGGUGAAAUGCGUAGAGAUCUGAAGGAAUACCGGUGGCGAAGGCGGCCCCCUGGACAGAUACUGACACUCAGAUGCGAAAGCGUGGGGAGCAAACAGGAUUAGAUACCCUGGUAGUCCACGCCGUAAACGAUGUCUACUUGGAGGUUGUGGCCUUGAGCCGUGGCUUUCGGAGCUAACGCGUUAAGUAGACCGCCUGG
rnacentral:rRNA from 1 species